GCUUUAUUACUACAGUGUGAGACAGCGACACCCUGUGGUCGGCAAACGUAACAGCAGGCAUAAUACAACAAUGACUUAUUUUUAAAAAUUGUAUUACUGCGUAAUCGUAAAUCAUUUUCAACUUAUGACAACAGGCAGCAUUGAAGAGUGUGUGUAUAUGUAUAUAUAUACGAUAUUUUAUUUAUAUAAUGAGAGGUGGGGUUGAGUGUGCAAACUUGUUACUAACAUAAACAUACAUUUCAAAUAAAGGGCACUUCGGACACAGCUGACUGGAACUUUCUUGGCAACAAAUACGGUUUUCCACCACCACCACCAACUGCUGAAAAUGUGGUCCAGGGGGAGGCAAAAUGAAAAAAGAAAGAAAGAAAAAAAGAGACUGGCACCAGAGAUGCUAAACAGAUGACAGCAUGUCGUGAAUCCUGACAGAGACAAACGACUAUCAUUCUGCUGGUGUUAGCCUUCUUUAAAUAAACAUUAAAAAGUC